CCUACGGGAGGCAGCAGUGAGGAAUAUUGGUCAAUGGGCGCGAGCCUGAACCAGCCAAGCAGCGUGAAGGAUGACUGCCCUACGGGUUGUAAACUCCUUUUAUAAAGGAAUAAAGUGAGGCACGUGUGCCUUUUUGUAUGUACUUUAUGAAUAAGGCUCGGCUAACUCCGCGCCAGCAGCCGCGGUAAUACGGAGGAUCCGAGUGUUAUCCGGAUUUAUUGGGUUUAAAGGGAGCGUAGAUGGGUUGUUAAGUCAGUUGUGAAAUGUUGCGGCUUAACCGUAGAAUUGCAUUUGAUACUGGCAGUCUUGAGUACAGUUGAGGUAGGCGGAAUUCGUGGUGUAGCGGUGAAAUGCUUAGAUAUCACGAAGAACUCCGAUUGCGAAGGCAGCUUACUAAACUGCCACUGACAUUGAUGCUCGAAAGUGUGGGGAUCAAACAGGAUUAGAUACCCCAGUAGUC
rnacentral:rRNA from 1 species